rnacentral:rRNA from 1 species
UACGAGGGGAGCUAGCGUUAUUCGGAAUUACUGGGCGUAAAGCGCACGUAGGCGGCUUUGUAAGUAAGGGGUGAAAGCCCAGAGCUCAACUCUGGAAUUGCCUUUUAGACUGCAUCGCUUGAAUCCAGGAGAGGUGAGUGGAAUUCCGAGUGUAGAGGUGAAAUUCGUAGAUAUUCGGAAGAACACCAGUGGCGAAGGCGGCUCACUGGACUGGUAUUGACGCUGAGGUGCGAAAGCGUGGGGAGCAAACAGG